GAUGAACGCUAGCGGCAGGCUUAAUACAUGCAAGUCGAGGGGCAGCAUGAUUGUAGCAAUACAAUUGAUGGCGACCGGCAAACGGGUGCGGAACACGUACACAACCUUCCAACAAGUGGGGGAUAGCCCAGAGAAAUUUGGAUUAAUACCCCGUAACAUAGCGAUGUGGCAUCACAUUGCUAUUAUAGAUUUUUCGCUUGUUGAUGGGUGUGCGGCUGAUUAGAUAGUUGGCGGGGUAACGGCCCACCAAGUCUACGAUCAGUAGCUGAUGUGAGAGCAUGAUCAGCCACACGGGCACUGAGACACGGGCCCGACUCCUACGGGAGGCAGCAGUAAGGAAUAUUGGACAAUGGACGCAAGUCUGAUCCAGCCAUGCCGCGUGAAGGAUUAAGGUCCUCUGGAUUGUAAACUUCUUUUAUAGGGGACGAAAAAAGGCUUUUCUAAGUCGUCUGACGGUACCUUAUGAAUAAGCACCGGCUAACUCCGUGCCAGCCGCCGCUGUAAAAC
rnacentral:rRNA from 1 species